AUGUUUGCCCGACAAGUGUCCAAUUGGGAAUGUAGUGGAUGUUGGGUGUGGGAUUGGAGGGAGCUCCAGAUAUCUGGCUAGCAAAUACGAGGCCAAUUGCAAAGGGAUUAGGCUCAGAGGGCCAAUGGUCUUGCUGCUGCUCAAGGCCUAGCCAAUAAGGUAUUGAUAUUUGUUUUGCAUGGGACCUACUACUCACUAGAAAUGUGAUCAGUCUAUAUAAGAUGAGCAUGUGUGAUCAGUCUAGUCCAUACGUCUUUUACACGGAUCAUUACUCCAUUCCAUUUUCCAAAGUGUACACUCUUAGUGUGUUCUAUACUGCUAACUGCUGAGUCAAAAUUAAUUCACUACAUGCGAUACACUGUAAAUAGCGACUUAUCUACCAACUCACGAUUUUAAAAUUUCAUUAUUUCAGAAUACUGUAAAUUUUUUGGUAAGUUUCUUCUUUUACAUUAGUAGAUUAAUCACAUUCUAGAGGCUUCAAGAUUCAUUAUGUGUUUUUAAAGAGUCAACUUCAUUUUUGUUUUUCAUUCUCCUAUAUUAUGGCUUGUAUUUCAAACUAAUAGUUUAUGGUGUGUAUAUGGAAUGAUGUCAUACAUAUCAAAUUUGGUCUACCGCAUCUACUGAUGAC
rnacentral:lncRNA from 1 species